rnacentral:rRNA from 1 species
UACGUAGGGACCAAGCGUUGUUCGGAUUUACUGGGCGUAAAGGGCGCGUAGGCGGCGCGGUAAGUCACUUGUAAAAUCUCUGAGCUUAACUCAGAACGGCCAAGUGAUACUGCAGUGCUAGAGUGUGGAAGGGGCAAUCGGAAUUCUUGGUGUAGCGGUGAAAUGCGUAGAUAUCAAGAGGAACACCUGAGGUGAAGACGGGUUGCUGGGCCAACACGUGACGCUGAUGCGCGAAAGCCAGGGGAGCAAACGGG